rnacentral:ncRNA from 1 species
CCAAAGGCUCUUUUCAGAGCCAUUAACCCCAUCUUGCCAGUGAUC